rnacentral:rRNA from 1 species
UGGGGAAUUUUGCACAAUGGGGGAAACCCUGAUGCAGCGACGCCGCGUGAUUUAGAAGGCCUUCGGGUUGUAAAAAUCUUUUCUAUGGGAAGAAAAUGACAGUACCAUAGGAAUAAGGACUGGCUAAUUACGUGCCAGCAGCCGCGGUAAUACGUAAGGUCCGAGCGUUGUCCGGAAUCAUUGGGCGUAAAGGGUACGUAGGCGGGUAAGCAAGUUAGAAGUGAAAUCCUGUAGCUCGACUACAGUAAGCUUUUAAAACUGCUCAUCUUGAGAUAUGGAAGGGAAAGUGGAAUUCCUAGUGUAGCGGUGAAAUGCGCAGAUAUUAGGAGGAAUACCGGUGGCGAAGGCGACUUUCUGGCCAUAAUCUGACGCUGAGGUACGAAAGCGUGGGUAGCAAACAGG